CCUACGGGUGGCUGCAGUGGGGAAUAUUGGGCAAUGGGCGCAAGCCUGACCCAGCAACGCCGCGUGAAGGAAGAAGGCUUUCGGGUUGUAAACUUCUUUUCUCAGGGACGAAGCUAGUGAUGGUACCUGAGGAAUAAGCCACGGCUAACUACGUGCCCGCCGCCGCGGUACUACGUAGGUGGCAAGCGUUAUCCGGAUUUACUGGGUGCAAAGGGCGUGUAGGCGGGACAGCAAGUCAGAUGUGAAAACGACGGGCUCAACCUGUGGCCUGCAGUUGAAACUGUAGUUCGUGAGUACUGGAGAGGCAGACGGAAUUCCUAGUGUGGCGGUGAAAUGCGUAGAUAUUAGGAGGAACACCAGUGGCGAAGGCGGUCUGCUGGACAGCAACUGACGCUGAGGCGCGAAAGCGUGGGGAGCAAACAGGAUUAGAUACCCUUGUAGUC
rnacentral:rRNA from 1 species